rnacentral:rRNA from 1 species
GACGAACGCUGGCGGCGUGCUUAACACAUGCAAGUCGAACGGUGAAGCGCCUUCCUUUUUGGUGGGUGUGGAUGAGUGGCGAACGGGUGAGUAACACGUGAGUAACCUGCCCCCUUCUUCUGGAUAACCGCAUGAAAGUGUGGCUAAUACGGGAUAUUCUGGGUCUGUCGCAUGAUGGGUCUGGGAAUGAUAUUGUUUCGGUGGGGGAUGGGCUCGCGGCCUAUCAGCUUGUUGGUGGGGUGAUGGCCUACCAAGGCGGUGACGGGUAGCCGGCCUGAGAGGGUGGACGGUCACACUGGGACUGAGACACGGCCCAGACUCCUACGGGAGGCAGCAGUGGGGAAUAUUGCACAAUGGGCGCAAGCCUGAUGCAGCGACGCCGCGUGAGGGAUGGAGGCCUUCGGGUUGUGAACCUCUUUCGCCAGUGAAGCAGGCCUGCCUCGUUUGUGGGUGGGUUGACGGUAGCUGGAUAAGAAGCGCCGGCUAACUACGUG